AUGGCGUCGUUCUUCGCCGCGCUGGUGGCAAUCGUGGUCGUGGCGCUGGUGGCGGUGAUGCGGCGCGCGGCCGCGAGGAAGGAGGACGUGCGGCGGACGGCCUGGAUCGCGGCGGAUCAGGCCCAGUUCGCGGAGCGCGACGCGUUCUACUACUACGAUCACCACGCCGCGCCUGACUGGACGGCGCCGGACGCGACUGAGUGUACGGCGCCGGAUGCGACCGAGUGGACGGCGCCCGACGCGACCGAGUGGACGGCGCCGCAGGUGGCCUGGCCACCGGUCGAGCAGGUGGCGGCACCGCCGGUGGCCUGGCCGCCGGUCGAGCAGGUGGCGGCAACGCCGGUGGCCUGGCCGCCGGUCGAACAGAUGGCGGCAACGCCGGUGGCCUGGCCGGUGGUCGAGGAGGUGGCGGCAACGCCGGUGGCCUGGCCGGCGGUCGAGGAGGUGGCGGCAACGCCGGUGGCCUGGCCGCCGGUCGAGAAGGUGGCGGCAACGCCGGUGGACUGGCCGCCGGCCGAGAAGGUGGCGGCGCUGCCGGUGGCCUGGCCUCCGGCCGUGAAGGUGGCGGCGCCGCAGGUGGCCUGGCCGCCGGUCGAGCAGGUGGCGGCGACGCAAGUGGCCUGGCCGCUGGUCGAUCAGGUGGCGGCGCCGGAGGUGGCCUGGCCGCGGGACGUACAUGUGGCCGCGCCGCGGCUCGAACAGGAGGCGACGACGGAGCCUACGCUAGCGGCAGCGGCGGGGAAGAAGGGACCGUGUGCGGUGUGCCGGACGCCGACCACGUUCAGGUGCAAGCGCUGCAAGGGCGUCAAGUAUUGCGCCGUCAAAUGUCAGAUAGCUCACUGGAGACAAGGCCACAAAGAUGAAUGCCAUCCAGUAAGUGCUGAUGCUAGAGAAGACACCACAAUAGAAGCUUCUUCCACGAAGAAAAUUGGACGCACUAGCUCAGAUGAAGAAAGUGUGGUGACUGGAGCCGAGCAAGCAGCUGACAGCAAGGAGAUGCCCCAUGAGAAGGCGUCCAAUACGUCAGAGGCUUCUGAACAAGAUAACAAAGAGUUCACAUUUCCUCAGGUUACAGGACAUGCUGAAUCUGCUGACUGUUCGAGUUCUCCAACUUUUGGUAAACCGUGCAAAGUCGAGGGCGCUUCCAUUAGUGAAAAUGGCUCUCACACUCAGAUUCCGGCGGCGUGUGAUCCAUCUGAAAAGGCUGAGAUCAGAGUUGUGGUGCCAGAUAAUCUGCCAACGACGAAGAGUUUGGUCAGGCAACAAACUGCUCCAACAGUUGUGAGGCAUAACCCAUCGGAAUCGGCACUUUUUCCGUAUGAGCGUUUCGUCAAGCUCUACAACUUUGACAAGGUGGAAUUGCGUCCUUUUGGUCUUUGUAACCUUGGGAACAGUUGCUAUGCAAAUGUCGUGCUUCAGUGUUUGGCCUUUACUCGGCCACUUACAGCAUACUUUCUCGAGGGGCUUCAUUCAAAACACUGUUCCCAAAAGGAAUGGUGCUUCUUGUGCGAGUUUCAAAAACUAAUUGUGGAGGGUAAGCGAGGACAGUCUCAAUUAUCACCUACCGGCAUACUCUCACAUUUGUCUGACAUCGGAAGCAGCUUUGGUCCGGGCAAAGAGGAAGACGCUCAUGAGUUUCUCAGGUACGCAAUUGACACUAUGCAAUCUGCUAGCAUGAAGGAAGCCAACGCAAAUGGUGCCCAUAAGUUAGCUGAAGAAACGACACUGAUUCAGCUAAUGUUCGGAGGCUAUCUACGAUCUAAGAUAAAAUGCACAAAGUGUGGGGUCAGUUCAGAACAUUGCGAACGUAUGCUGGAUCUUACUGUGGAAAUAGAUGGGGAUAUCAGUACUCUUGAAGAAGCACUUCAUCGAUUUACAUCUACAGAAGUCUUAGAUGGCGAUAAUAGAUACCAUUGUAUCAGAUGCAACUCAUAUGAACGUGGCAAAAAGAAGUUGACAAUAUCAGAAGCACCAAAUAUCCUGACUAUUGCACUGAAAAGAUAUCAGUCUGGUAUGUUUGGCAAGAUUAACAAGGCCAUCAGGUUCCCGGAAUACUUGAAUUUGUCUAGCUACAUGAGUACAACAGAUGACUGUUCCCCUGUGUACAGGCUCUAUGCGGUGGUUGUCCAUCGUGAUGUUAUGAAUUCAUCCAUUUCUGGUCAUUAUAUAUGUUAUGUCAAGGACUCACAGGGAAAAUGGUACGAAAUGGAUGAUAGCCAGGUGAAACCUGUUUCUCUGAAAAAUGUCCGGUCGGAGUGUGCGUAUAUGCUGCUUUAUGCAAGGUGUUCACCACGGGCUCCAAGGUCUUUAAGGAAAUUGAUUAUUGCUCAAGGCCUAUCACACACAAGAAAAGCUAGGCAGACAGCAGGUCCAGCAUCAACUUGUUUGGAAGGCCGGAGUCAUUCUAGCAGGCACCAAGUAUUAGAGCCCACAAGUACAAGCGAGGGUUCUUCGCUGUUCAGCAGUUCUGAUGUAGGGUCAAGCGGCAAUUUAAGCAGCGAUAAUACUGACAGCGCAAAGAACCCAGGAAGCUCGGAUCAAAUGCACCCAGUCAGCACAGUGGUGAUGCCUGAGGAGCAUUCGCGGCAGAUGUCCAGCUUGAACCCUAGCUCUUCAACCCAGUAUGCUGAUCAAGGUGAGGUUGACAGGCUGCACCAGCUCAAGCAUCAGACAAGCAAAGGGGCUUGGGAUGAGGGUUGUGAGGCCCCAUCCUUCUUCUAUGUUGACCAAGGUAAAUACCCGGGUAGUAGUAGUAGUAGUGACAGUAGCAGCAGAAGUAGGCGUAGUAUUAGCAGUAGCAGUAGUUGUAAUUUAACAGGGCAGCGUAACUGUCGGAUGGUAGGGGAGGUUGAUCAUGGUCCUGGAGAGGGCCAGGGGCAUUUUAAGUAG
rnacentral:rRNA from 1 species